GGCCGGUUAGCUCAGUUGGUUAGAGCGUGGUGCUAAUAACGACAAGGUCACGGGUUCGAUCCCCGUACGGGCCA
rnacentral:tRNA from 1 species